UCAUUGCUGACGAGUCCCAAACAGGACGAAACAGCUGCCGUCCAGUGC
rnacentral:hammerhead_ribozyme from 1 species